rnacentral:rRNA from 1 species
AUGGAGCCGACCUUGAAAUACCACCCUUUAAUGUUUGAUGUUCUAACGUUGACCCGUAAUCCGGGUUGCGGACAGUGUCUGGUGGGUAGUUUGACUGGGGCGGUCUCCUCCUAAAGAGUAACGGAGGAGCACGAAGGUUGGCUAAUCCUGGUCGGACAUCAGGAGGUUAGUGCAAUGGCAUAAGCCAGCUUGACUGCGAGCGUGACGGCGCGAGCAGGUGCGAAAGCAGGUCAUAGUGAUCCGGUGGUUCUGAAUGGAAGGGCCAUCGCUCAACGGAUAAAAGGUACUCCGGGGAUAACAGGCUGAUACCGCCCAAGAGUUCAUAUCGACGGCGGUGUUUGGCACCUCGAUGUCGGCUCAUCACAUCCUGGGGCUGAAGUAGGUCCCAAGGGUAUGGCUGUUCGCCAUUUAAAGUGGUACGCGAGCUGGGUUUAGAACGUCGUGAGACAGUUCGGUCCCUAUCUGCCGUGGGCGCUGGAGAACUGAGGGGGGCUGCUCCUAGUACGAGAGGACCGGAGUGGACGCAUCACUGGUGUUCGGGUUGUCAUGCCAAUGGCACUGCCCGGUAGCUAAAUGCGGAAGAGAUAAGUGCUG